UACAGAGGUCUCAAGCGUUGUUCGGAUUCAUUGGGCGUAAAGGGUGCGUAGGCGGCGCGGUAAGUCGGGUGUGAAAUCUUGGAGCUUAACUCCGAAAACUGCAUUCGAUACUGCCGUGCUUGAGGACUGGAGAGGAGACUGGAAUUUACGGUGGUAGCGGUGAAAUGCGUAGAUAUCGUAAGGAAGACCAGUGGCGAAGGCGGGUCUCUGGACAGUUCCUGACGCUGAGGCACGAAGGCCAGGGGAGCAAACGGG
rnacentral:rRNA from 1 species